UUUUGUUUUGUUUUGUUUUGUUUUGCUUUCUGAGAGAGAAGAACAUUAGGAGAGAGAGAGUGAGUUGAGUGGUAUACUGUCCAGUGGUACCCCACCAAAGGGGCCUCAUUCAUUAAUUCACAAAAGAAGCUGUUUGGGCUUUUCUGCUUGAGAUUUUGUUUGUGAGUGCAAAUCUGAAAAAGGCAUGUACAAAAUGCAGCAGUUACAUGCAGUUCAAAGAAGAAAAAAAACGUGUGGAACAGAGGAAACAAAAGAUAAAAGGCAUAGCAUUGUAGAUUAAUGCUACCCUGUAGGAGUAGAAGGAGAAGCAGCCUUGUGGUUUUUGCUUUCGCGGCUGGAUAAGAAAUGGCGCCCAACAAGGACACGUCGCUACCUCCUGUGGGUCAAGGUCUCAAGGAUGACAUGCUAUGGAGUUGACGUCCCGUACUCCUGUAGCUAAAGGAGAGAAUAGUGAAUUGACUGUUGUGGAUAAGGCGAUCUGACAUAAUCUGGCUACGAACUCGGUGAAAUUUUCGCGGUAACUUUUUUCCCUGAGCAAAUGAUUGGUUGAAGGGUCGAUUUUCUCUGUCUCACAGCAAGGGCCAAAGGAUGGAUUGUCAAAUUCCUCAUGAUGAAAAAAGUGAAUGUGCUCGGUUUUUCCCCCGCCAAGUAAUUACUCGUUUACCGAAUCUCUUUUGUCUCCACUUUCUUUCACAGCCUCUUCUAUUCAAGAAUUCCUUUUUCCUUUUCUUUUACAGUCACUCGUGCAAUUCCUAGUGAAAGGUGGCUGGGCAUGGAAUCAUUGUGACAAAAAAAAAGAAACAGGAUUCCCUCAGAAAAGCAAGCUACCAAAAAGAAACAGGAUCAUAGCUAGGGGAGCAUUUCAAUUCAUGACGAUGCAUGGCUAUGUGUCUUUCGGUUGCAUGAGCAUCGAGACAUGAAACCGGGCAGGGAAUUUGUACCACACACAUGGAAAUUCCUCAUGUUUCCAUUAGCAAAGCACCUGGCUACAGAUUCAUCAGCAUGUAAUGAUGGAGGAGCAUCAGAUUAAAGUUUCAUCGGUGUCAUUACACGUCGCCGAAAAUCCAUAUCCCUUAAAUUGCCAGCAGCACAUAAAUGAAUUUAUAUUUUAUAUGGAUUCUCUUUAAUCUAUUCAUCGGUUCCCGUUGUAUGAAACAACAUCACCUUUGGAUUGAAGAAUCACGCAUCCUACCUGCUGUGGUGGCCCAAUCAGAGGCCAGCCAGGUGCACUAACAAAGAUUUAUUAAUUAAGCCUCUCUUGUAAGCAAAAUUUGGGGGCAAGCUUAUCCUCUAAUGAUGGCAAUUAUUGCAUCUUUGAAUAAAAGUUAUCCAUCCCCCAGCUGCACAUCAUCACAAAAACAAGGAGAAAUAUCCUAACUUUUUCUAAGGUGAACAUCAUCAAUUGGUGGCGAUGAAGAGGAAUGCUGCUACUGUGUAGGGUAAAUGCUGCACUGCAAGCAAGUCCAGUAAAAAAAAGUGUGGGGCAGAGGAGAAGAGUGCCCACUGAAUCUUUCUUCUCCUUCUUUUUGGGAGUGAGGGAUGAAGACACUGGUGUGUGCCCACUUAAGUGAUGAAGUGGUGUUGGUGCCUGACAGUUGUUGCCACGGCUGGCUCCAAGCCUCCAGGGACAAAAAUUCAGAGGGUGGAAAUUCUUUGGUUGGUCCAUUGGAAAGGCUCUUCCUCCUGUUGUAGAAGCUGUAGCGAUUAUUGGCACAGUAGCUGCUGCCGCACUAGGCUUCGUGGUUGGUUUCUUCACAAGCAACUCGCUCCUAUAAUUGGGCUGUCCCUGCCCUUGGGGCCUGACUCUGAUGAAUCUCUACUCCGUACAAGCUUUACAGUGGCAUUGAGCAGCUGAAAUUACAGGAGCUCAGUUGCUAGUACGUUAGUGGUGCUACCUUGGACUGUAGCAGUAUAUAUCAUGCAAAUGUCAGACUCACUUAUCCAGGCUUGCACAUGUGCUACUGGUGCUUGGUUCACACGAUUAUUCAUCAGAUGCAGUUGGUAUUGGUUAAACUUUAGUAAACUGAAGAUGAGAACAAGGAGUCAGUGACAGUGUGGCCUCUGAUUGGGAACUCCAGCCCAGCAGAUGCUCCGCGCUUUGGCAAAAAAGGCAAGUUACCCAUCGUCUUUAUUCUUUAGUCCAUCUUGUUUUAUACUAGCACUAGCAGUAGCAGCACCGAUAAUCAGGGGGACAGGGAAAUCUGAUCAAGCCCUAGAAAACAACUAGGCAUCCAUCGACUUUGUCUUUGUAAGCAAAGCACUAACUAAACUGCUUGUUUGUGGCUGGGUUUGGUUGCUGACAGUGAGCAACAUAGGGCUUAGCUGCAGUUUAUGUUUUGUGAAAGCUCUACUCUUUCAGCCUAGGACUCACUCGAGGUUUAUGUUUUCUAUUAUGCAGAGAGCACAAUACAACACCACAAGAGUUAAUUACCAUGCCCCUGUGCUGUUGAUCAUCAAUUUGCUUUCCUUGGAACGUCACAUAUCAAUUUACUCGCUACACAAGAGAGUCCGAAAAUGGAUGCUAUUUUGAACACGAACACAGACUGCACAAUGCCAGUGUAACCAUAACGUCAACUGUCAACAUCAUCAUACUUAAUUAAACCACGUUGGCAGGGCUUUUCUUAUUCUAUUGUUAAAGUCUUUCUUAACAUCUAAAAGUCAAUACCAAAAAAUAACCACGUACUACGUAUGCAUCCUAAAAUGACAUGAGUUUUACUACCACUACUGUGCAUGGUUGGAGUCAGUAGUGGUGCUUUAUAGGAGAUUGAAGUCAGUUUAUUGGGUAACACAGAGGAAUUCUAGUAUACUCUAUUAUUGCUGCACCCUGUGCACAGGUGCACAUGCCCCCCUGAAGCUAGCUUUUCCUUCUCCUUUCCUCCUGAGGGCUUUCUUUCUCUUGUUUUCCAUGGAAAGAAUAGCAAGGCGAGUAAAGAAAACGGUACGUUCUCUGCCAAUCGCAACUACCGUCACCACAUUGGUGGGAGAGCUACCAUAAUUCCUUUUCAAUUACCACUAAGCAAGCAAGCUUUCGGUACGAGAUUUUCGGAUUAUUAAUUUGCUCCCUCUCCGUACAGUAGCGUUUACGUUUGAAACUGCGUGAUGGUACUGCAGCAGAAUUUCAAUAUUCUUGAGCAAUUUUCGGCAGUCUACGCUACGCACAGUGACUUUUGGUGCAUCUUCGAAACCCUUGGGCUUUUGUAUGUAAUGCCGGUGGGCGCACUCAUGGCUGCCUGCCUGCCUGCCUGCCUCUCGUUCCACUUCCACAAAGGGCAAAACUAUUAAUCGUUCCUUUUUCCCUUAAUUAACAAAUACUCCUUUUUUGGAAGCAAAUAACAAAUCACAAGCUGUCAUGAAAAGGUCUCGUUGUUAGAGAGAGUAUGCAUUGCAAUAUUAAGAGAGGCCGGAUGAUAGGCCAGUCAAGAGCUCAAGUUCCAAGGCAUUUUGAUCCCUCUGUCUGCCUAGGUAAGGUAGCCAUCGUCGACACUAUUCUAUUCCAAACAGUUUGAUCGGUCGAGUACAAGAAAGAAUCCUGGGAGAACCCAGAGUCUAUUCCAACCAGCUGAAUGAAUCUUUAGCACUAUCAGGUGACAGGUAGUAGUAGGUACCAAGGGAGACGAGACGAGACAUUUGGUUGGUAUGAGGUGGUAGAGUAGUUUAUCCAGUUUCCACGCCGUUGCUCAAGCAUGGGCAGACACUCUCGAGGCCUACGAGGAGGAGGACGCGGAUCAUCAGCAAGAGCAGCGAGCACCACGCCCGGAUUUGAGAGAUGACCAUCAUCAUCAGUUUCACACACCGCUGUAUCAUUAGCAUGUCAUUAUAUAUAUGGCACCUGCUGCGCUGGAUGGUGUGCACCUUUAAUUUGCAGUGCUCCUUAGCUGAAAGGAAGUUGAGUUUCAGAAGACUCCAUUUUUAAGUACUGAAAGGGAGUUCAGAUUUUUUUUUUUGCAGUGUUCCUUAACUGCUGCAUGCAGUUCUCACAAAAGUAAAGGAAAUUUCAGUAGGUGAAUGGUGAUUGACGAGAAUCCACAAAUAGAAUCCCGAACAGUGCAAAAUUUCAGUUUCAGAACGCUCCAUUUUUAAGUACCGAAGGAUGGAUGGUGCUAUCCUUUCAGUUGAGAAUUUUUUAGUCAAAUUUCAGUAUGGCACCAUGCAUGCUUGUACUUGAAGAGUUCAGUUUCAGAAUUCCUAGUAACAUUUUAAAUAAAGUAUACAAAUGAUGGUGCACAUCCUUUAAACAAUUGUUUAGUGAAUCUGUCUGCAAAAUUGAUCUGCGCUUACUGCUUAGCCAUCGCCCAGGCACAACAGCUGAAGAUGGGCGGCAAUGGCUGAGGCAGUGGCAACAGCGACUGAGAACCGCUAGUUUUGUUGCAGCUAACCAUCUUUUUAACUAGUAAUUUGUUGAGUUGGAUCUUUAAUGGGCCGGAGAGCAGCAGUAAUCCGAGCCCACUGGGCCUCAGAUAGUCUGGCCUUUCUUUUUCAGAAGGAAGAAGAAACUGAAGGCCCGUGUGCCAGCCCAAGGUAUCUGGCUGGACAGCGACAAGACCUAAGAACCAGUAUGGACGACUGCUCGAGCGUCGUCACCACCCGGUGCAGAACAACACAUUACAUGAGAUGCACAGCAAAGUGAGCAGCAGCCCAAUCAAUCAACUACAGAGCGAGGGAAGCCGGCGGCCAAUUCAGUCAUGGAUGGGUGUGAAUGAUCACGCCGUCGGCGACCUCGAUGUCCUGCGUGAGCCGGUUCAUGGCGCGCACCUGCAUCUGGAGCGCCGCAAUGUAGUCGGACACCUCGGCCAGCAGCGCGGGGAGCGACAUCCUCCGGCACCCGGGCACCAGCCUUCCCAGCGCCCGGGUCUUGCUCGCCAGCAGCGACCCCGGCCUGCUGCUGCUGCUGGUUCCUGUGGGGGGCGCGCGGGGGACGAGGCGAGCGCGCUGGAGCGGCCGGCCCCGGCGGGCGAGGAUGGCGCGGCUCCAGCGCGACCGGCCCCGCGCGGCCACGGCGAGCGCGCGGUAGGCCGCGUCGCGCACCUCGCGACCGCUGCUGCUUGCGCCGCCUGAACGCACGAGGCGCAGCGCGUCAAGGAGCUUGGAGGAGUAGGCCUGCUGCGCGCGCGGCUGGCGCCACUUGGACGGCGGGUCCUGCUGGUCGGCGUCGGCGUCUGAGUCCCUCUUGCGCUUGCGGCCGCCGCUGUCGCCCGCGGAGCUCGUCGACAUGGCGGGCGGCGAGGGCCGAGGGGAGUGGAUGGAUGCUUUGGUUGGGCGUGGGCAUAUAAAAGGAGGGAGGUGAACCCAAGCACGGGCAUGUUUUUUCCCAAUUGGAUGCCAUUGCAGCACAUGGAGUGUUGUCUGUAGCCGCUCAGGUCUGGACCGUCUGCUAAGGUCUCCACUUGAUGUCUUCAUCUCAUCUCGAUGAUCCCUGUCAACAUCCUGCUGCAGCAUUGCAUUGGCAACAGUAAGUACGUUUGCCUACCUGAUGCCUCAUGGGAUGACCGCAAGGCAAGGAGAGAAGGAGAUAGGGAUCAUCAGCGCCGACGCACCAUGCUCGCUCCCUUAUUUGACUGUUGAAGAGCAGUGUGCACUACUAGUUACUGAAGGGGACUCAAUGCAAGGGGAGCCAUGCAUGCAUCAUCUGAAAAUGAAACGCCGAUGCAAUGCAAAAAGAUGUCCAGCAAUUCAUUCAUUCAUUCAUCAGCAGCUAGGGAUCAUAAUCAUAUCGGACGUUUCUCUUUCCCUUGUUAAUAAUUAGUUAAUUAUUUGGAACAGCAUGUAGUAUGCAUUACUCCUAGCGGAGAACAGAACAAGGCAGCGCGCACAGUGUAGUGACAUGACAUGGCCUGCCUUCAGACUAGCUACUAACAGAAAAGCCUAUUUUAAUUUAAGCAAGGUCCGAUCCGAUCCCAUCCCAUCCAAUCCUGCUCAGCUAGCAGCCUGAUUCCAAUCAUACAUUGUAGUACUCUAGAUGGAUGGCUCCCCUGCAGCUGCAUCUGCCUGGCCUUAUUUUGUGGUGGAUGGAUGCCAGCGGUGCCACGCCAGGUGAACGCUGUACCGCCAUUAACAAACCCGCGCUCCAGACUUGCUCACAGAGCUAGCGUGCUAUGCUGCAGCUGCAGCGCAGGCCUCCAACCAUUCAGGCUUCACUCUUCAGCUGCUUGCUCUGCAUCUGCUUAAUUGGAGAGAAUCUAACCUGCCGCCACCUGCCUGCCAACCAUAUUGCCAUUGCAUUGCCAACCCCUAGAAGGCCAGAAUGUGAUGAUGUCCCAUCCCAAGUCAAUUAUAUUAGUACUAAUUAAGCUACUACUGGAUCAGAAUUCAGAAUUGGACAUGGUCUAUAUAUCUACUCAUCUUCUCAAACAUGAAAUAUGCAUGCCAAAUGCAUAUAUCCAGCUGCUAGCUUGAGUCGAGUCAAAUCCCACUGUCCAAAUGCAUAUGCAUGAUCCAUCCAUCCCAGGACGACGCUGGGUGGAGGGAGACAGCCUCACGACGGCCCUUGUCCCACCUGCCGCCCUCACCUCAUGCACAUCAGAUACAUGACAGCACAGAUAUCCUGGGCAGACAGGAACGGAGAGCUUUGUUAUUCAGGCACAUGCCCGUUCCUGCCCAAAACCAGCCACAUGAGAGCCUGCCUUGCUCUUGGGCUCUUUGGUUAUGGCAUUUCUCCUGCAUCCAUUCUAUGUCCGUCCACCAACAAUGUAUGGGUACGGUGGCACCUACCUAAUCAGCUUGGUCGCCCUGGGCUGGCUAUCCUAAAUCCUAAGCAUUUUUCUGAGAACUCAUCAUCCUGCAGCAUGCUUUUAUUCAUAUAUUGAUUGACGUCUAACACCACUGUAGGAGCCAUCCCAUGCAUGCCCACCACACCCAGGGUUUCAAAAACUGUCAGCAUGCCUGAGGACCAGACAUGAAUGAGUGGCAAACUGGCUGCUAGUAAUCAAACGAUAGCAAUUGCUCUCUGCCCUGAUGCAGGAUCGUGCAGGGCGGCUGCUCUCACGCUCAACUUCUGAAGACGCAUGAAUAGGAACAGGACAAAGGCGGUGGCCAGCUUCCACAGUUCCACUACAAACCAACCAAUCUCGAUGAUAUUUGUGAUCACGUCUGUCCUUUCCUCGCCAAAAAGAAGAUCUAUCCCUAUCUGCUGCCUAGAAUUUGCAAGAAAUUGUAUGCCUGCCUGUCUACAAGCACACUCAUAAUGCAACAACAUAUAUAAAUCAACCAAAAAAAAAGAAAAGAAACUUUGCACAAGCCCAACCAACUAACCUACCUAGGAUAAUCGGAGUUGCGGUUGAUUUGACAAGCAAAUAAAUAACUGACGGCAAUCAGCCGGUAACUUUGCUUGAGGUUAAUCUAUUGGAGUCAGAAGUUGAUGAAACUGAGUGAUCCAGUUCAGAUUGUUGGUACAGGCAGGAUAUGCAAGGAUUAGUGGAUACGAUGCAGAUUUUUAGUCUGGGAAUGACAUCUGACGCGGCAAGGUCGAUCAAGAAUGUCUUAUCUGCCUACCUGCCUGUGCCUGGUUCAGAGAAACGACCAAACAAAUACAAAAGUUCAGAAUAUAAACCGUUAUGACGCAUUGCACACUUCAAAAGAAUUUGCAAACAGAGUGUUGUAUCCCAAAUGCAAAACUGUGCCAGAUUCAUGUGUGCAUGUUAGUCCAGAUAUGAUGCGCAUCAGAAAGAAAAGACAGGUGGUCACGCCGACAGUCAUGUAUGAAACUGAAGUUUCAACCUGAAAACCAAAGCUCAACGCUUUAAAAGAAAGGACAUAUGCACGGAAUUCUGACUGCGAUUUAGGGACCUAUCGUUCAUGCCGACAGUUAACGAGAGAUAGUUCCUUUUAGUUAGGCACAGCUCUCUGAAGGUUUCAUACUUCCAUGCAGGGAAGAAGGGUUGUCCAGUCAGCUUGGGGUGGUUGUCUACUGCUGAGCUGAGGACCCCGGAGCAUUUUUUUAUAAAGGGACGGGAAUGUUGCAGGGCCAAGUGCUACAGAUCGGUGAUGAAGCUUGAACUUGGCACACACAUAACUGACAACAGUGCAGGAGGAUGAAUAAGGCAUGAAUGUCAGAGCAUGAAUUUGCCUUUAUUUGAGCACAAGGACUGAUAGAUAUUGGGCUGGACACCACCAAACAAAGGCCCAAGUAGCAAGGGCCAAAUUCAGGCUCGGAAUAAAUUCACAAUGCAAUCGUGUGUCGACGAUUCCAUCAGUAAAUGUAAACCUCAAGUAGGCUGAAAGCACACCAUCACACAAGCAUCAACGUCUGCAAAAUUUAUGUUGCCAACAUAUAUGAUAUAUUUGGUUCAAAAAAUAACACAAGUUUGAUAAUAAGUACACGGGCGUACAUCUCUCAAUAUACCAAACACUUGCUACUGCAUGCAUCUCUCAAUCCAUCACAUUAUUCACUUUUAGUAGGCUUAGGAGUUAACUCAGGUACUACUACUGUAACUUUGGCCCGGCCCAUUCCAAAACGCCCUUCCUUGCUCAUCAUGCACGUCCGAAUGUCCUGUAACGACGUGCGCGAGCUCGACGACGUGAUUUACAGUCCCCCACCGAUGCCACCGCCACCUCCGGCACCAGCUCCACCGCCGAAGCCUCCGCCC
rnacentral:lncRNA from 1 species